UACAGAGGUCUCAAGCGUUGUUCGGAUUCAUUGGGCGUAAAGGGUGCGUAGGCGGCGCGGUAAGUCGGGUGUGAAAUCUUGGAGCUCAACUCCAGAACUGCCUUUGAUACUGGCAAUCUCGAGUCCGGGAGAGGUGAGUGGAACUGCGAGUGUAGAGGUGAAAUUCGUAGAUAUUCGCAAGAACACCAGUGGCGAAGGCGGCUCACUGGCCCGGUACUGACGCUGAGGUGCGAAAGCGUGGGGAGCAAACAGG
rnacentral:rRNA from 1 species